GGAUGCAGCAGAAAGGUACCACCUUGGAAGCUGAGCGCCCCCCUCGCCAGACACCAGACCUGCUGGCUCCUGAAUCUUGGACUUCCAGCCUCCAGAAUGGGGAGAAAUAAGUUUCUGUUCUUUAAAAUUACUCCGUCUCAGGUAUUUUGUUACAGCAGCACAUGGGGACUGAGACUGGGUGUGCAGGUGGUGGAGGAGGGUGUGCAGGUGUGUUUGAGGGUGUUUGCCUCAAUCUUUAGACAGCAUCAGGGCCACAAUACCUGCA
rnacentral:lncRNA from 10 species